rnacentral:rRNA from 2 species
CCCUUCUGUUGAUCCUGCCAGUCAUAUGCUUGUCUCAAAGAUUAAGCCAUGCAUGUCUGAGUUCGGCCCCCGUCCCGUACGGCCAAACCGCGAAUGGCUCAUUAAAUCAGUCCCGGUUCCUUGGGUGACACGGCCCGCUCGGCGGGCGUUUCGGAUAACUGUGGCAAAUCCAGAGCUAAUACGUUCAAUUCGAGCCCCGACCCGGUGUCUCGUCAGCGCUACCCUCGCGGGAGUCGGCGUUUCUAUCGGGGAAGGGCGCUUUUAUUAGUGCGAGACCGGCGUCUGCCCCGGCAGACCCGCGUCAGGCGAACUCUGAAUAACUCGGCUCGACCGCUUCGUCCUUCGCGGGCGGCGGCGCGCCUUCCAAGCGUCUGCCCUAUCAAAUGUCGACGGUAGAUUACGUGCCAACCGUGUUGACGACGGGUAACGGGGAAUCGGGGUUCGGUUCCGGAGAGGGAGCACGAGAAACGGCUACCACAUCCAAGGAAGGCAGCAGGCGCGCAACUUACCCACUCCCGGCUCGGGGAGGUAGUGACGAGAAAUAACGGCGCGGGUCUCGAGUCGGGCCCCGCGGUCGGAAUGAGCGCAGUCCAAAACCCUGACGGCGACGACCCAUCGGAGGGCAAGCCUGGUGCCAGCAGCCGCGGUAAUUCCAGCUCCGAUAGCGUAUAUUAAAGCUGCUGCAGUUAAAAAGCUCGUAGUUGGAUCUCGAGACGGUUACGGGGUCAGUUCUUUCCGGUCGGCCUCUCGGCGGCGCGUCGUCGCCCGUGCGUCGUUAUUUAUCCCCGUGGGCUCGUCCCCGGGGGGGCCGGCGCACGGCGGCGGCGUCCGUCGGCGAGGUCCCGGUUCACGGAUCUCCUCGCUUAACCGUCCCUACGAACGCUGGCUCUCUCCCGUUCGGCCGUUCUUCGCUGAGCGACCGCGGGUGGCCGGCUUUUUACUUUGAAAAAAUUAGAGUGUUCAAGGCGGGCCCGACGCGCCCGGAUAGCCGCGCAUGGAAUGAUGGAACAGGACCGCCGUCCCGUUCAACACUGGCCGGUCUCAGGGGCGGAGGUAAUGAUCGAGAGGGACGGCCGGGGGCAUUCGUACCGCGGCGGGAGAGGUGAAAUUCGAUGAUCGUCGCGAGACGGCCGAGAGCGAAAGCAUUUGUCAAGAGCGCUUUCCUUAAUCAAGAACGAAAGUCGGAGGCUCGAAGACGAUCAGAUACCGUCGUAGUUCCGACCGUAAACGAUGCCGACCGGCGAUCCGCGGAAGUCUCGUACGGACUGCGCGGGCGGCCCCCGGGAAACCAGAGUCUUUGGGUUCCGGGGGGAGUAUGGUCGCAAAGCUGAAACUUAAAGGAAUUGACGGAAGGGCACCACCAGGAGUGGGGUCUGCGGCUUAAUUUGACUCAACACGGGAAAACUCACCCGGUCCGGACACCGUUAGGAUUGACAGACCGAGGCUCUUUCUUGAUUCGGUGGGUGGUGGUGCAUGGCCGUUCUUAGUUGGUGGAGCGAUCUGUCUGGUUAAUUCCGAUAACGAACGAGACUCCGGCCUGCUAGUUAGUGCGUGAGCGUCCGGCGUUUAUCGGUUGUCGGGGAGCGGCGGGUCGGCUCUCGUGGUCGCGCCCGUCGUCCUCUCCCGUCGCCGUCUUCGCCCGCUGUCGUGACCCGAUUGACUUCUUAGAGGGACGGGCGGUGGCCAGCCGCACGAGAAGGAGCGAUAACAGGUCUGUGAUGCCCUUAGACGUCCGGGGCCGCACGCGUGCUACACUGGGGGAGUCAACGCGGACCGCCUCCCGGCCCGAACGGCGUCGGGAAAGCCGCUGAGUCUCCCCCGUGCUCGGGAUCGGGGCUUGACCAUUGUGCCCCGUCAACGAGGAAUUCCCCGUAGGCGCGGGUCAUAACCCCGUGCCGACUACGUCCCUGCCCUUUGUACACACCGCCCGUCGCUACCAUCGGUGGACGGUCUAGCGAGGGCCUCGGACCGGCGACGAAUUCUUUCCUUCGCGGGAUCGACUCGUCGCCGGGAAGACGCCCGAACUCGGUCGCUCGGAGAUAGUAAAAGUCGUAACAAGGUUUCCGUAGGUGAACCUGCGGAAGGAUC